rnacentral:rRNA from 1 species
UACAGAGGUCCCAAGCGUUGUUCGGAUUCACUGGGCGUAAAGGGUGCGCAGGUGGGUUGGCAAGUUUGAUGUGAAAGCCCCGGGCUUAACCCGGGAAUGGCAUUGAAUACUGCUGAUCUGGAGGAUCGGAGGGGGACUGGAAUUCUUGGUGUAGCAGUGAAAUGCGUAGAUAUCAAGAGGAACACCAGUGGCGAAGGCGAGUCCCUGGACGAUACCUGACACUGAGGCACGAAAGCUAGGGAGCAAACAGG